rnacentral:piRNA from 1 species
UUGACAACCAGGAAUAGCCACUACACC